UAGGGAAUCUUCCGCAAUGGACGAAAGUCUGACGGAGCGACGCCGCGUGAGUGAUGAAGGUUUUCGGAUCGUAAAACUCUGUUAUUAGGGAAGAACAAAUGCGUAAGUAACUGUGCGCAUCUUGACGGUACCUAAUCAGAAAGCCACGGCUAACUACGUGCCAGCAGCCGCGGUAAUACGUAGGUGGCAAGAGUUAUCCGGAAUUAUUGGGCGUAAAGCGCGCGUAGGCGGUUUCUUAAGUCUGAUGUGAAAGCCCACGGCUCAACCGUGGAGGGUCAUUGGAAACUGGGAAACUUGAGUACAGAAGAGGAAAGUGGAAUUCCAUGUGUAGCGGUGAAAUGCGCAGAGAUAUGGAGGAACACCAGUGGCGAAGGCGACUUUCUGGUCUGUAACUGACGCUGAUGUGCGAAAGCGUGGGGAUCAAACA
rnacentral:rRNA from 1 species